rnacentral:tRNA from 1 species
CCGGGUGUAGCGCAGUUGGUAGCGCGCCUGCUUUGGGAGCAGGAUGCCGGGCGUUCGAGUCGCCCCACUCGGACCA